rnacentral:rRNA from 1 species
CAGUCGCCGCGGGAAUACGAAGGGGGCUAGCGUUGUUCGGAAUUACUGGGCGUAAAGCGCACGUAGGCGGAUCGAUCAGUCAGGGGUGAAAUCCCAGGGCUCAACCCUGGAACUGCCUUUGACACUGUCGAUCUGGAGUAUGGAAGAGGUGAGUGGAAUUCCGAGUGUAGAGGUGAAAUUCGUAGAUAUUCGGAGGAACACCAGUGGCGAAGGCGGCUCACUGGUCCAUUACUGACGCUGAGGUGCGAAAGCGUGGGGAGCAAACGGGAUUAGAGACCCGUGUAGUCCCUGUCUCUUAUAA